UCCCUUUUGGCUCAGCUGGCAAAGAAUCUGCCUGUAAUGCAGGAGACCUGAGUUCAAUUCCUAGGUUGGGAA
rnacentral:tRNA from 1 species